CUGUCUUGGAUCAUUUUAUUGUCAGUUUUCCUACUGGGAAAUGUAUUGUGUGUGUAGGAUUGUGCCUACACAGACCCAGUUACCAGAUCAAACUGCUGCUUACAAGAUCAGCCAUGGCACUUGUGAUAACAAUCUAUUCUGAUUUUACAGUCAUCAACACUCAUCAGGGUAAACAAGAAUCUUUCCACUGACCUUAACAGGAGCUGGAGCUGAUCGCAAAUAACCUGGAGUUUGAAAAGAGACUGGAGAUGACAAUUUCAGAAUCCUUGUGAAGCAGAAGGGAAGGGGUAACACAACAGCCCUGACAAUGAAACUUGACCCAGAUCAUGGUGAAACAAUCCCAGAAGAACAGCAGAACUGGGGGCUCUCAGAACCUGUUGAGGGCUGCAAGGAAAUUGAAAGAAAUAGAAACAAAUGCUGGAAUUGAGGUCUCAGAGAUCAGGAGACCUGAUCAUGCUUAUCUGCCAGAAUCACUGCAAUUGAUUUCUCUGAGCACCAGAUCAGGCCCACAGAGUGUGUGGAGGGAAGCUUUUCCACUGGAUUUUGAGAUGAAGGAAAAGAAAAACACAGACAGAGGGAAAUAUGACUUCUUUGCCUGUAAAAAUGCUAAUUUAUCACUGCCACAUAUAGAAAGAG